rnacentral:rRNA from 1 species
AACGAACGCUGGCGGCAUGCCUAACACAUGCAAGUCGAACGGGAUCCUAGCUUGCUAGGUGAGAGUGGCGGACGGGUGAGUAACACGUGGGAAUCUGCCUUUUGGUUCGGGAUAACCGCGGGAAACUGCGGCUAAUACCGAAUGCCCUCGUGAGAGGAAAGAUUUAUCGCCAGAAGAGGAGCCCGCGUCCGAUUAGGUAGUUGGUGGGGUAAAGGCCUACCAAGCCGACGAUCGGUAGCUGGUCUGAGAGGAUGAUCAGCCACACUGGGACUGAGAUACGGCCCAGACUCCUACGGGAGGCAGCAGUGGGGAAUAUUGGACAAUGGGGCGAACCCUCGAUCCAGCAAUAGCCGCGUGAGUGAUGAAGGACCUUAGGUUGGUUAAAGGACUCUUUUGUUCC